CUGACGUAAAAAGUAAACUGCAUGCAUGAAAACGUUAUCAAAGUACGGACAAAAAGUUUUAAAAGCUACUAGAACCAUUACGAAUCCUCAAGUUCUUCGGGCACAUCACUCGUAAUGAGGACUCCAUUGAGCGGUUGGUGGUGCAAGGGAAAGUCGAGGGCAAAAGAUCUCGCGGACGAUAUCUAACACGAUGGACCGACCUCAUAAAAUCUGUGACUCACUUCAACAUGAAUGAUUGCUCUCACUCUGCGAAACACCGUGCCACAUGGCGUCGCAUCGCGAGAGCAUCGGUAUCGAAGGAUUCGACUGAUGCAUGACCACGACCACUCUAUCAAGAGUGUACGAAUAGGAAGUAAGAACCAUUAUUUCUAUUAAAUCAUGUCUUACGAGUGUUUCCUUCGGUAAACGUGAGUCAUAGACAAUUAAAACUAUUUUUACGGUUUA